CCUACGGGUGGCAGCAGUAGGGAAUCUUCCACAAUGGGCGAAAGCCUGAUGGAGCAACGCCGCGUGGGUGAAGAAGGUCUUCGGAUCGUAAAACUCUGUUGUUAGAGAAGAAAGUGCGUGAGAGUAACUGUUCACGUUUCGACGGUAUAUAACCAGACAGCCACGGCUAACUACGUGCCAGCAGCCGCGGUAAUACGUAGGUGGCAAGCGUUAGCCGGAUUUAUUGGGCGUAAAGGGAACGCAGGCGGUCUUUCAAGUCUGAUGUUAAAGCCUUCGGCUUAACCGGGGUAGUGCAUUGGAAACUGGGAGACUUGAGUGCAGAAGAGGAGGGUGGAACUCCGUGUGUAGCGGUGAAAUGCGUAGAUAUAUGGAAGAACACCAGUGGCGAAGGCGGCUCUCUGGUCUGUAACUGACGCUGAGGUUCGAAAGCGUGGGUAGCAAACAGGAUUAGAUACCCGGGUAGUC
rnacentral:rRNA from 1 species